GUACAGGCUUAUAAUCAUGUAGUAAGUUGCCUAAUAAAUUCAGGCAUUGUCAAAUCAAAUACAUAUUCAAUUAGUUCAUGUCCAAAAUGAAUCCGAAAAUAUUUACCUUCCCUACAAGCAGCUCCCAUAAGACAAUCUUGAAACUUAUUAAAAACGUCCAUCUUGUGAUCAAAUGGCUUGCGCUCUAUGACCUAUAAUAAACACUAUUGUUAAAGAGGAUACAUGACAUUAGUUUAAGAAAAUAAAUGAAGAUCCUUAAGCAACCUAGUGAUUCAUCAUAUUCAAUAAUAAACAAGAUUAAGAUUGAAAAAGCUAUACGGCAGAGAAGUUCAUUACCUUCGUUGUGAGCAGGACCCAUAAUUGGAACUUUUGUUUUUUAUUUCAAAAAACAUCAGCUCUUACAUAGUUUUCAUAUAUCUGGACAGUUGGAAAAAAAAUGGAUUACACAAUCUGGUGCCUUAUUUCAAUAUUGAGAAAAUUGCACGGAAGAAACACUUUAAUUUCGUGCCACAUAUUGAAUGCACUGAGAAGAUAUUUUAAUUGAGGUAUAUAAAGAGUUACACUGUUUGAACACUAGACAAUUCCUAAGUUUAUAUUAUCUAAUGAAAGGCAUUUGGAUGGGUUAGCUAAGAAUAUACAGAAUGUUUAAAAUCAGAUUCAUUACCACCCAGUGGUUUCUACAAUCAAAAAAAAAAAAAAAAAGACAGCAGGACAAAGUUCUUUCAGAGAGAGUUGCACUUACCAAGAACUUGGUGAUCACUGCCUUUUCAGGUCUGGGUUCAAUAGCUUUUCAAAAGUUUUCUACGACUUUAAGUAUUGCUUCAGAAUGGCCCGUUCAGUCCUUGUGACAAACAACCAUACACACCUUAACACGUUUAAAAUUUAACAUCACAGUCAACUAGUAACAAAAAAAUCUGCACGGUCACAAUACCGGCCUAAACAAGAUGAAUAAGAUAUUAACUCAAUAUUAUUAGAGAUUACCUAUACUGGCUUGCAUUUUGACCUUCCUUAACAAUAUAAUUCUAUAUAGGGAAUCCAUGUCCUCUGAAGUACUUAUCCAACAUGUCUUUAACUCCCACAACUACACCAUAUACCAAUAACAUAAUAAUGGAAAAAAAAAACAUAUAUACCUAACCAUCAAUAGUAGUGCCAGAAGUAUGAGGUGUGAUGGCUUGAUUUGGCAUGCCAUGGAUCCUUUGGAGCUGGUUGUGACACCAAACAUCCCCACUAUAAGUCUAUAACCUGCACAUUUCAGUACAUUGGGUGAAAAAUACAUACAUGGAAAUUUUCUGGUCCAUUGGGUUGAAAUGUUGGACCUGCAACAAUGUGUGAAGGAGAGUUUUGGGGGGUUGUUAGCAGCAAAUGUAAUGCAGAAACAGAAUAUGCAGAGAAGAGGUUGGUAGAAAACAAUUCUUAUCCUACCAUUAUCAACAUGAACACUAUUGUACAAGGGAACUACUUACUAGUACUCCAUUGACUAUGGAAAAUUUCAAAUAUAGAAAUACCACAAACUUGUCAGCCUACUAGAUAUUUCAUCAAACACAUGCAGUUCAUCUUCAAUAUCAUCACAUUAACAAGUAGAAUCUGUAUUGCUAUAAACCCAACAAUACAGUAAAAAAAAAUUUGUGUUUCGUAUCUCAAUCAAUGUGUUGAUUAAUUAUCUUUGGUUUUAAUAUUGCAAGAUAGAAAAUUUUAACAAAAAUGAGAAAACAAAACAAAAUUGAUCUAAUGGAUUGUUGUCAUUGAGAAUAAAAGAUGAAUUACAUAAGCUAAAGCAGAUGAAGUGUUAAAUUGAUGAAUAAUGAUAGAUUAACAAACCUUGUAAACUUAAUUCGUAACCAACAGUGAAAUUACAGAACUGAGAGGCUUUACAUUGAAAUCGAAAAAAAAUUAAAGGGGUUGUAUAGAGAUGAGAGACAUCUGAUCGAGGGAGAGAGGGGAUUCAGUUUGUUAACGCCUUGGUGUGCUUUCACGUGAGAUAUACAUGGGACAAAUUUCGCAUUUUCCGGAUAAGUUUCUACAGGUAGUAACGAA
rnacentral:lncRNA from 1 species